rnacentral:rRNA from 2 species
GAGGAAAAGAAACCAACAGGGAUUGCCUCAGUAACGGCGAGUGAAGCGGCAAGAGCUCAACUUUGGAAUCGCUGCGGCGAGUUGUAGUCUGGAGGUGGCCGGUCCCGGCGCCAGCGCGCAGCCAAGUCCUUUGGAACAAGGCGCCUGAGAGGGUGACAGCCCCGUGGCAGUUUGUGCUGGUGCCGCCUCGGCCCACCGACGAGUCGAGUUGUUUGGGAAUGCAGCUCUAAGUGGGUGGUAAAUUCCAUCUAAAGCUAAAUACCGGCGAGAGACCGAUAGCGAACAAGUACAGUAAUGGAAAGAUGAAAAGCACUUUGAAAAGAGAGUGAAACAGUACGUGAAAUUGUUGAAAGGGAAGGGCUUGCACCCAGACACGGCCUUCUGGCCGGGCCAGCAUCGGGUGGGAGGAAGCGACAACGAGCAGUCGAUGUAGUACAGCCCUCUGGGCUGUGCAUUAUACGUCUUGCUUUCUGGCUCCUCUCCCGCCCGAGGACCGCAGCAAUAAGGAUGCUGGCGCAAUGGUUGCAAGCCACCCGUCUU